rnacentral:misc_RNA from 1 species
AAAGACCUGGACUAGACCCAGUAAGGCCACUCUACCGAAUAACAACAGCGGGAUCGAGGCCAGCGUGCUGAGCAGUGGGAAUCUGGCCAUCGUCUACAACCCGACCACCAGGGACCGUAACCCCCUCAGCGUGUCCCUGUCUGACGAUCAGGGUGAGUCCAGGUCUGUCCAAGCUCCCACUGACCAAUCAAAAUGUGAAAGAAUUUAAUUCAAUUUUAUUAUAUAAACCAAAAAUCAGAAUGAGGUCUAGGAUAAGGGAUCACGUGGAAAUACACAAGAAAUCUGGAGUACACAAAAUCUUCAAAUGGCGUGGAAUUUAGUUACCCAACAUUAUUUCAGGACUCCUCUGGUAGGAUUCAUAUCUCGUAUACAUUUAAUAGACAGACUAUCAAACAUAGAAUCCUUCCAAAUGAACAGUGGAUUAUGCAAAAAUAGUCAAAGAAGAAAAAUGACCACCAUGCGCGUAUUCAUAAGGGGGCGAGAUUGGCGGAGGGGGUCCGAAGCCCCCCAAAAAUUCAAAUUUCUUAAAUUUAUUUAGGAAAAAUACCGAAAAUAUGCCUUGAAUCCCCCUUCUUUGACAAAUUUUAAUAUCCCUCGGGCCCCCUUCCCCCUGUGAAAAAAAAUUCUGGUUUCGCGCAUGAGUCACUAUAUAUGCCGCCUGAUACAAUGUGUGCUGUAUAUGCAUGUGCACGUGCAUGUAUGCGUACGUGUAUAUAUCAUUAUUGUGUUUUUAUAAAAUAUAUAUUUUUAUUGAUUUUUUUGGGGGCUGUUGCCUUUUAAUUAAAUGGUUUAAUUACAGGAAUAAACAAUUAUUUUAAUCUUUAUCCAACCAAGCGUUUAUUCGCAAUUGUUUUUAAAUAUAUUUUUUAAAGUAAUAGAAUUACGAUUUUAUAAAUACUAUAUCAAAUAAAAAUCAGUUUUG